rnacentral:rRNA from 1 species
GGGGAAUAUUGGACAAUGGGCGAAAGCCUGAUCCAGCAACGCCGCGUGAGGGAUGACGGCCUUCGGGUUGUAAACCUCUUUCAGCAGGGACGAAGCGAAAGUGACGGUACCUGCAAAAGAAGCACCGGCCAACUACGUGCCAGCAGCCGCGGUAAUACGUAGGGUGCGAGCGUUGUCCGGAAUUAUUGGGCGUAAAGGGCUCGUAGGCGGUUUGUCACGUCGGGAGUGAAAACUCGGGGCUCAACCCCGAGCUUGCUUCCGAUACGGGCAGACUAGAGGUAUGCAGGGGAGAACGGAAUUCCUGGUGUAGCGGUGAAAUGCGCAGAUAUCAGGAGGAACACCGGUGGCGAAGGCGGUUCUCUGGGCAUUACCUGACGCUGAGGAGCGAAAGUGUGGGGAGCGAAC